AUGAGGUGGAGAACACCUGCAAGCAGUUUUUCGAUUACACAACACUUGAAACGAUCAAAGGGUUUGUUUAUUAAGGUGAAUAUACAUUUAUUUAACUGUGUCUUUGAAUUACCAGUGGAAACGACUGGAGACAGCCACUCGGCAGCAAACCAGGACACCGAGCAACCGUGCGUUCCAGUGAACAUGGGUGAGGAGGAGCAGGGCUCCGUGGCAGAGGCCUCCUACUAUUCCUACGAGUAUGACUCAGACUCUGAGCCUUUCCUGGCUGAUGCUGAAGGAGGGGACCGCAUUGACCUAGAGCCUAAAAUGUUCCUACCAGCAGACGCCCAGCCUCCCACGUUGGACACAAAAAGCACUCCUGAACGAUGGUAUGGUCACAAGCAGCACUUCUCCUCUCCUAAAUGUGCGAUUGCUCUCGGUGCAGACCUCACGAGUGUCCUUGUUUUUGUUGUCAUCCUCAGAGACGCCCCAUGCUAAAGCUCCGCCUCUCCUCCAAAUUGUAUCAUACAUGUGAAUAAGCUUGUGAAUGAAAGAGAAGUGCGACUGAGGACUCGCCUGGAGGAAGAGUUUGCUCUUGGAGAAUGAUUGUGUUUCUGUAGUUCGGAUGCUUUAAUGUUUGCUCUUGUCUGCAGUGGGUUGAUUGUGAAAUGUUGUCAAAAAAAAUAAAGAUAGAAACCUUUAGAUUUGUACUUAUCAUCAUCUACAAUCCUAGUCACCAAUAAGCACCGUAGCGUUUUUGUUUUAUUCACUGUCUGCCUUUUAUCUUCUCUAGAAGAAAUAAUCGAGUAUUUAUGUUUGUAAUUACACCUGAUGUUAAGCAAACAUGUUGUUAUAUUUUCUAUCUGUGGUAUUUAUUUGUAUCUACAGGUCAUAUUUUCUAUUUUGUUGUGGUCAUUUUGAGUCGUCCCUCUGCCGUUCAGUCCACCAAUUUCCCCUGCGGUCGAUUCGAGGAGCAUUUUCCGUGAUGGCAAGCUUUAACCCAAUUCCUGAAAGUUUGAGGAAAUUCUUGUGACGGUUUGAUGCAGGAAACAAAACACAGAUGCUCACCAGAUGCUUUACAGGAACAUGCGCUGAUGUGCUUUUCAUUUUCAAGAUUUUUGGAAUUUUUCUGGC
rnacentral:lncRNA from 1 species